rnacentral:rRNA from 1 species
UUAAUUGAAGAGUUUGAUCAUGGCUCAGAUUGAACGCUGGCGGCAGGCCUAACACAUGCAAGUCGAGCGGUAACAGAAAAGAAGCUUGCUUCUUUUGCUGACGAGCGGCGGACGGGUGAGUAAUGCCUGGGAAUAUACCCUGAUGUGGGGGAUAACUAUUGGAAACGAUAGCUAAUACCGCAUAAUCUCUUCGGAGCAAAGAGGGGGACCUUCGGGCCUCUCGCGUCAGGAUUAGCCCAGGUGGGAUUAGCUAGUUGGUGGGGUAAUGGCUCACCAAGGCGACGAUCCCUAGCUGGUCUGAGAGGAUGAUCAGCCACAC